AGAGAAGAGAGGCUCAAACUGAAAUCUGAGGAGCCUCAGCAUUCAGAACUCAACUGGGCGCUGUGGCUCAAGCCUGCAAUCCCAGCACUUUGGGAGGAUGAGGCAGGCAGAACACCUGAGGUUAGAAGUUUGAGGCCAACAUGGCCAAACUUCGUCUCUACUGAAAAUAUAAAAAUUAGCUGUGUGUGGUGGUGAGUGCCUGUAAUCCCAGCUACUCAGGAGGCUGAGGCAGAAGAGUCUAUUGAACCUGGAAGGCGAAGGUUGCAGUGAGCUGAGAUCACACCACUGCCCUCCAGCCUGGGCAACAGAGCAAGACUCCAUAUCAGAAAAAAAAAAAAAGAAAGAAAGAAAAAGAAAAUAACUCAAUGGAGCACAAGCAGCUGAGUAAUGCCCCAGGAAGCCGGCGUCAUUGUUGGACAGCUCAGAUGUUCAGGAUGUUUCAUUUUGAACCUACCUCAUUGGAAUUUCAAAAUAUUAGCCUCUUUGGAGCAAUACGGAGCAAGUCUGUUCCUUCAAGUAGAUGAAAAGUUCCCUGCAUGCCUUCCAUUGGACUUCUCCCCUUUAGCUUAAAAAUAGCCACAGUCCUGAAACAUGUCUCAGAAGCAGAUGUCACCCAAACCCUACUCUUCCAACUCAGCCAGCCAGCCACAUGCACGACCCCAAAGCAAAGAAGAGGCAGCGACCUGAGAAGCUACAUAUUGACUUGGCGCUACCACGGGUGUAGGAGCCUGCAUUGCUGAAUCACAGGAUGAAGGCGAAUCCCUGCCAGCCUCCAUCCGUCUCCAGCAUCAUUUUCCCCACUUACCCUGACUUGAAAUGAAGCUCAUGAAAGUGGUUCUUAUACCCUGAAGUCAAGGAGGCAUUGUUCAGCUGCAUCAUUUGCCUACUUCUCACAGCUUGAAAGGGGAAUAAAAGGCAGAUUGCCUCACCACCUUGCUAUUUUAGUCUCCUGAUGUCUUGUGGUCUCGGCACCUCUCCCUGUCUGUAAUUCCAUAUUGCUAGUUGUAAUCAAAUCCUACCUUGGAAAGGUCAGACUUG
rnacentral:lncRNA from 1 species